AUGUAUCUAUCUAGACUAAUAAACCCAUUUGUCUGUUCAUUCACUUCCUUUAGAUCCAUGUUGGAACACAGAGUGGCACACAAUAUGAAGUACUACACAGUUGAGACUGGCAAUACUUUGGAUUCUCAUAUUCAGUUUAUGAGACGACUCAACAACACCACAAGAUGUUUUACGGAAGUCGAGUCGCCAGUGGAGAGUGAUGUCAUCAUGGCUUUCUGUCCCAUCGUCUCCCGCGCCGGGACUGAUAUUGAAGCAGCACUGCAACAGAUUCCAAUGGGUAAAUAUGUCAUUCUGGUAGUGCUGCAUCACACCUUCAACCCAGACUACACUGUACCUGACAGCAGCAGACUAGUGACCAGAAGUGAUGUAAUACUCACAGUGGACUGUCUGUUCCAUGAGAGCCAGGGACUACUGGACUGUCCUCACAAUGAUGCAGCAGUCAGAAAUAUUAGGCAGAAGUUUGACACAGUGGACUGUCUGUUCCAUGAGAGCCAGGGACUACUGGACUGUCCUCGCAAUGAUGCAGCAAUCAGAAAUAUUACGCAGAAGUUUGACACAGUGGACUGUCUGUUCCAUGAGAGCCAGGGACUACUGGACUGUCCUCACAAUGAUGCAGCAGUCAGAAAUAUUAGGCAGAAGAUUGACAUAGAUCCUGUGGCCAGAAAUCGUGACUGUCUAGCUUGGAUUCUAAACGCUGCCAUGGUGUUACUGUCUUUAUGCUGCAACUGCCCUUGUGUGGUGUUUUCUUACAUGAUGGGGCUCAUCUCAGGCAAAAAUCCAUGUCCCUUUGCAAGACCUCAUUCCAGAAAUGAAGACUAUUUACAUUUGGCCCAACUAUGAACAUGUGAUAAUAUAUAGUGUGACUCCUGUAAACGUGAUGAUCAAUUCCCUUAGAGAACAAAUGUUAUGGAUUACAUCUUUAAUUGCACGUCAUUUAGGCCUACUUGAGAAAGUACAGAUCAUUUACAGUGGUAAUGUAUGGAAUUAGGCCUGGCUGUAUCAAUGUAACAAUAAUAUGGAAAUUAAAAAAAACAGGAUUUGUGGAAAGGCACGAGUCUCAACAUCACUGGUUAUACCCUAGAGUAAGUAUAUAUUUCCUGAGUUUUCUUAUAUCUCUUAGAUAUAGGACAGACACUUCAAAACCUUUUUUUUACUUCUUUUUUUUUGUUGCCAUUUAUGCAUGUGUUAUUCAUUGCGUUUCUAUAGGCUAUAGUAGUAAAGGCCAAAUUCAAUAUUUUAUCAAAUAAUUAAACAAAAAUAUUAUAUAGCUAAAGGGCACCCCCCCAGCUUAGACGUUUAAGAAUUAAAACGAUAGUACAUGUAUCCCACUUCUGACACCGGUGUAGUGAACAGUGGCAGAAUCCCAUUUGCCUGACUCAAGGAACACUUGAUAGCCACAAUUUUAAUUUGGAUAGCUAUGUAUUUUGGAGGUGUUUGUAACAGACAUAAAGGCUUCACUGUUUUUUGCAGUAGCUCAAUGACUGAACUGAGCUCAAAAGUGAGGGAAAAGGUUUUUGAACAAAAUAUUCCUACCGCAACAUUGCAUUCUGGGACGUGUCCCCUGUUCGGGUUGUUGAAGUCAAGAUGGCUGUAAACACCAAACAGAGACUAGAGCAUGAAAUAGGCCUUAAAUGAAGUUCCUUAUUCAAUAAAAUCGCCCAUCACCGUCAAGAGCCUUGAGCAGUAACAUAACGAUUUGUUGAAUAUUUAUCCAAACUGUGGAGAAAGUGUUAAUUCAUACAGUUACACAGGAUCACGGGCA
ensembl:lncRNA